rnacentral:rRNA from 1 species
AGAGUUUGAUCCUGGCUCAGGAUGAAUGCUGGCGGCGUGCCUAAUACAUGCAAGUCGAGCGGUAACAGGGUUUCACCGUUUUCUUGUGGCAGGAUUUAUUUUUGACACACUUGGCCCAGAUGGCAAGAACGUAGUCUAGAAAAAUGAAUUUUGAUACCUACAAGGGAACAGUGAAACUGCUGACGAGCGGCGGACGGCUGAGUAACGCGUGGGAACAGACCCCAAACUGAGGGAUAACUACUCGAAAGAGUGGCUAAUACCGCAUGUGAUCUUCGGAUUAAAGGAUUUAUCCGGUUUGGGACUGGCCUGCGUAGGAUUAGAUAGUUGGUGAGGUAAUGGCUCACCAAGUCGACGAUCCUUAGAUGGUUUGAGAGGAUGAUCAUCCAGACUGGGACUGAGACACGGCCCAGACUCCUACGGGAGGCAGCAGUAGGGAAUCUUUCACAAUGGGCGAAAGCCUGAUGGAGCAACGCCGCGUGCAGGAUGAAGGCCUUCGGGUUGUAAACUGCUUUUAUAAGUGAGGAAUAUGACGGUAGCUUAUGAAUAAGGAUCGGCUAACUACGUGCCAGCAGCCGCGGUCAUACGUAGGAUCCGAGCAUUAUCCGGAGUGACUGGGUGUAAAGAGUUGCGUAGGUGGCAUAAUAAGUAGCUAGUGAAAUCUGGUGGCUCAACCAUUCAGACUAUUAGCUAAACUGUUAAGCUCGAGACCGUUAGGGGUAACUGGAAUUUCUAGUGUAGGAGUGAAAUCCGUAGAUAUUAGAAGGAACACCGAUAGCGUAGGCAGGUUACUGGGGCGGUUCUGACACUAAGGCACGAAAGCGUAGGGAGCAAACGGGAUUAGAUACCCCGGUAGUCUACGCCGUAAACGAUGGAUACUAGCAGUUUGGGGUAUCGACCCCCUGAGUUGCGAAGCUAACGCGUUAAGUAUCCCACCUGUGUAGUACGAUCGCAAGAUUAAAACAUAAAGGAAUUGACGGGGACCCGCACAAGCGGUGGAGCGUGAUCUUUAAUUCGAUGGUAAACGAUAAACCUUACCAAGGCUUGACAUCUCGGGAAGGCUUCCGAAAGGAAACUGUGCCCUCGGGAACCCGAAGACAGGUGAUGCAUGGCCGUCGUCAGCUCGUGUCGUGAGAUGUUUGGUUAAGUC